rnacentral:rRNA from 1 species
UNCACGUGUAGCAGUGAAAUGCGUAGAGAUGUGGAGGAAUACCGAUGGCGAAGGCAGCCUCCUGGGAUAACACUGACGUUCAUGCCNGAAAGCGUGGGUAGCAAACAGGAUUAGAUACCCUGGUAGUCCACGCCCUAAACGAUGUCGAUUAGCUGUUGGGCAGCAUGACUGCUUAGUAGCGAAGCUAACGCGUGAAAUCGACCGCCUGGGGAGUACGGUCGCAAGAUUAAAACUCAAAGGAAUUGACGGGGACCCGCACAAGCGGUGGAUGAUGUGGAUUAAUUCGAUGCAACGCGAAGAACCUUACCUGGUCUUGACAUGUACGGAACCCUCCAGAGACGGAGGGGUGCCUUCGGGAGCCGUAACACAGGUGCUGCAUGGCUGUCGUCAGCUCGUGUCGUGAGAUGUUGGGUUAAGUCCCGCAACGAGCGCAACCCUUGUCAUUAGUUGCCAUCAUUAAGUUGGGCACUCUAAUGAGACUGCCGGUGACAAGCCGGAGGAAGGUGGGGAUGACGUCAAGUCCUCAUGGCCCUUAUGACCAGGGCUUCACACGUCAUACAAUGGUCGGUACAGAGGGUAGCCGAGCCGCGAGGUGGAGCCAAUCUCACAAAACCGAUCGUAGUCCGGAUUGCACUCUGCAACUCGAGUGCAUGAAGUCGGAAUCGCUAGUAAUCGCAGGUCAGCAUACUGCGGUGAAUACGUUCCCGGGUCUUGUACACACCGCCCGUCACACCAUGGGAGUGGGGGAUACCAGAAGUAGGUAGGGUAACCGCAAGGAGCCC